AAAGAACACCAGACUCAUCGACCCCGACCUGUUCGAUCCCCAAUCUCACCCCUCUCCCUCUCUAUCUCGCCACCCACACACCCUAACCCUAACCCGACCGCGCCGCCGCUCCCAACCUGCGCGCCUCCGCCCCAAACCACCCGCCAGUCCCUCGCGCCACCACAUCUCGGACCCCGGCCUCCCUUCCCUUAGUCCGCAGUAGCAGCAACGCCGUCUGCGACGGAGGAGCACCGUCCGCCGCCGAGGAACAGCAGCGCCGUCCGCCACCAAGGAUCCACCGCGCGCCGGGAACAGCAGCACCAUACGUCGGAGGAUUCGCCGCACCGAAUGCUAUUGAGGAGCAGCCUGCCGUUCUUCUUCCUCCACCGGCGACCCCUGUCUCGGCCCCGCCUCCAGAUCUGAACAAUCGGGUGGUUCCAGGUCUAGGUCAUGGCAUCAGUGGUGUGGCGUUGUUCUGUUUUCUCAAUGAAUAGCAGUCGCUUGUUGGAUGUGAAUUGCUACUGAGCUUGUUAUUGCUUCCAUAUAUACUGGUUUCGUUCAGCUGGUCAAGUUGCUGUUGCUCCCUCCGCUACGCAGAACAGUACCCCUGGAGAUGCGUGGAGUAGGCUAGUCCUCUGACCAUAACAAUUGGCUGCUACUGACGACACGAGGAGAGGAGCUGCACAAGACAGAAAAAGCACAAAUGGCCAAGUACACUUGACGGAAGAUUGACGAAACAGAGAGGAAGAGAGCACAGGAACAUUAUCUCAGCUGUCGUUGAUUUCAGAACAAAUCGUUGGCAUUGUACCUUCAAGGGAGUAUCCUUUUGCCUACUGAGCACACAGAACAAAUGCGUCUAUAUAUUUAUUUAAGGGAAACAACAUGCUCCCAUUUUUGGUCAAUCGGUGGAUCUGACUAAUACAUAACUAUAUAUAUAUGUGUGUGAGGUAUUAUUCAUGUGUCAUUUUUUGUAAUUCGAGUAAGCUGAAACUGAUGGUCUCAGAUGGUUUGUGUAUUAACUUUGAUCAGAACUUGCAUCUACAAAUACUGAGUAGUGGGUUGCCUUUUGUGCAGGAAUUUGCAGCAGGAUCCCUUGCUUGUGCUCUCCGCCUGUCCUCACUCCUUAGACCUUCCCUUUGCUUAUCACCAUACAUUUUAUUUAGAGUGGUGUCAAGAUGCAUCUCCUCUGCCAAGAUGAUGGGCAGAGGGCCUAAGCUCUAGUUGAGCUCCUCCACCAAGCAUGUGUUGUAUAUUGUACGAUGUUUUCAUCGUUAAUGUUUGCAAUCUAAUGCUUUGCUCUGCUAUUUUAAUUUCAUGUAACAUGCAUACUCUCAUUAUCUGUACGCAUGUGUUUGUAAUAACUUGUACGCAUGAGUUUGUAAGAAGUUGAAUGCUGGUAUGAUGCUUUAUUUUCUACAAAGUUGGGCUAUAUGCUCAUGGCUGCUUCCUGA